UAUUGGACAAUGGGCGAAAGCCUGAUCCAGCAAUGCCGCGUGAGUGAUGAAGGCCUUAGGGUUGUAAAGCUCUUUUACCCGGGAUGAUAAUGACAGUACCGGGAGAAUAAGCUCCGGCUAACUCCGUGCCAGCAGCCGCGGUAAUACGGAGGGAGCUAGCGUUGUUCGGAAUUACUGGGCGUAAAGCGCACGUAGGCGGCUUUGUAAGUUAGAGGUGAAAGCCUGGAGCUCAACUCCAGAAUUGCCUUUGAUACUGCAUCGCUUGAAUCCAGGAGAGGUGAGUGGAAUUCCCGGGUGUAGAGGUGAAAUUCGUAGAUAUUCGGAAGCAACACCAGUGGCGAAGGCGGCUCACUGGACUGGUAUUGACGCUGAGGUGCGAAA
rnacentral:rRNA from 1 species